rnacentral:lncRNA from 1 species
ACCCGCCUCUCUGCGCCCCUCUCCGCCCCGCCUCCCUCCUAGGUGAAGGAAGAUGAUUUCCCCCCCAUCUUGACCACCCCCCAGUCUUCGCCGCCAAAAACGGACUCCGCCGGCUAUCCUCGGCCCGGUACCAGUUGUUGGAUCCAAGAGAAUUCCGGAACCCAAACGGCUCGCUCAAAGCACUUUAUUGGCAGUGAAACCGCAAGUAACCCGGAGCCCUCGGCGCGACCACGGCUAGAAUCAGAGCCUAAGGCGUGUGAGCUCAGCCAUCCCACGUCUGUCUUCACGCUCAUACGCAAGCCCGACACACCGGGGCUCCCACUUAAUGAAUACUGAAGAGUAGGGCUGUCCCUACCGCUUCUCACUUCCUUGUUUUCAUCUUUUCGUUAUUAUUAAGCGACCUAACACAAUAAACAUAUUACCUUGUUGGUAACCCUUUUGUAAAGUC